GUAUAUGUUAUAACAUAUUAAUUCUGCUUUAAAACUUGUUGAGGUUAUGUAUAUUUUAUUUUUGCAGUACCUUUUUGUUUGUUUUUUACAGAUCCUUUUAUUGUUAAAAAAAUAAUGGGUUUUAAACAUGUCCUAAAAUUUUCCAGCAUCAGUGCUUUUAUAGAUGACACAACAAAAUUAUAAAAAAGGGUGAAAACGCAAUAGAGUCCAGCCAUGCCAAGAAAAUGGACUAUGACUCUGAUUUGCAGGUAAUCAGAGGUGAAGUAUUUGCUAGUAUGAAAUACAAAAGCUACAAGGUGUCUAUAGGUAGGAAUAUAUGCCUUUGUUAAUGUAUUAUGGAAUUAAUCCUGUUAUAAUUUGGUGUUGGCACUUUUUGGGCUUUACAAUAUAUCUGUAACAGAUAAGCGUGUGCAUGGAAGGCCUACCUAAACCAAAGGUUGGGCCAGUGAAAUCUACAGAAGAGCUUUACUCACCGAAGCCCUAUACACCUCUUGAAGGUGGGGUACCAGAAGAAUCAAUCAACAGAUUGAAGGAAGGGCUACACAGCUUUGGAAAUACUGUUGGUUUUACCUGGCUAUUGAACGAGGAACCAAUAAAUUUGCUGGAAAAUGAAUUUCCAGUAAUUGAAGAAAUAAUUUCUUCAAAGGACUUUUUGGAAGCCACAGAUAUACUGACUGUGUUCAAAGAGAAAUGUGAUGUUGAUGAUCAGCUAAUAAAAUAAAUAUAUUUCCUCCCUACUGGCCAGGUGUCAAAUGAAAAAUGGUACCUUGCAAGAAAAUUUAGAUUAAAUGCUGGCAACUUCAGUGCUAUUAUUGCAGCAUGCAGAAGAAACAGAUUCUGAGUGAGUUUGUUCAACACACUCUUAGGUGAAUACAAUUUGGAUGGUAUCAAAGCAAUCCAGUGGGGUAGAACUCAUGAAAAAGAUGCUCUAGAUCAGGGAUGGGGAAACUUCGGCUCACGACCAAAAACAAAAAUCAAGUACAGCUUUCUUAUCAGAAAUUACAUUCUCUUCAAUUGGCAAUAAUGGCAGUGCAUGUCAUACAUAAAACAACAUGUGCGAGCGCGGACGGGGAUAUGAGCGAAAACUGAAAAUGAAGCUCAAGUAGGUGCGUCUGUCAUCGAACGCACUACCCAUUUGAAACAACUAUUUCUGAACACCAGCAAAUUGGAAUUUUAUAAGUCCUUAUCUAAGACACAAUACCUAAAUAUAGUUGCCCACGCCCAGAAAAUAAUGGCUAUGUUUGGUACAAGCUAUUUGUGUGGACAAACGUUUUCAAUAAUGAAACUAAGAAAAAAUUGUCUUCUUAGGCUUUCAGAUGACCUCCUUUUUUCCAUGUUAACAAUUCAGUAUCACAAUGGAGCCGGCUUAUGAUUAAGUCAUGCAGAAACAAAAAUAGUUCCACAUGUCACAUGUUCCCACAAAGACCAGUGCUCCUUAACCUUUUACUUUGCAGCUAACUUGAGUUCAAUUAAUUGCAAUUAAAAAUGUUAUUUUUUAAUAUUUCACAAUAAAUUAGUGUUUCAGAAAAAUUAAAACAAUAUUUCUAUUUUAGUAAAUAAUGUAAUGCUACUUGGCUCGUCAUAUAUUUCAUUAACAAAAAUUGGCACGCAAAGAAAAAAGUUUCCCCAUCCCUGCUCUAGAUCAUUUAAACCAGAUUUAUAAUUUAAAUGUUCUGCCAACUGGAGUAUGGCUUACAAAUUCAGGACUUCUUGGUGCUAGCCCUGAUGGAAUUAUUGAUGAAGAAGAAGCCAUUGAGCCAUUGUAGAAGUGAAAUGCCCAUAUUCUUUCAAAAAUGGCUAAUCUACAGUGUUAACAGAUGGAGUAUACAGUUGGAAAAAUCUUUACUAUUCAUUUUAGGCUGAAAAGCCACUCUAUACAAAUUUUUGUUCAGGAAAUUAUGUUUUUUAAUAUAAAUGUACAAUGCCAUUUUGUCAAUAAAGAUUUUUGAAACAA